AAACUUCACGCCGUCACACCUGAAGGAUUUCAGGCCAAAAAAGGUGUACGACGUGAAAUGGCAGGACGACGUGCAGGACGACUUCUUCGGCGCCCAAGUUGUUAAACUGUUCGAGACGUAUGAAGCAGCACACGAGGAAACAUCAAGAAAGAGGUUACCGGUUCCUCCUGUGGAAGUAUCGUCAUCUAGUGGCAAUGACAGCAAUGAAGACACCCCGGACCCCCCAAGGCGGGAGAAUGCUACAAGCAGACUGAAGGCUAAACAGCGCGCACAGCUGCUGGAUUCACACUCUAGCACCGAUGAUG
rnacentral:lncRNA from 1 species